GACGAACGCUGGCGGCGUGCUUAACACAUGCAAGUCGAGCGGUAAGGCCCUUUCGGGGUACACGAGCGGCGAACGGGUGAGUAACACGUGGGUGACCUGCCCUCAGCUCUGGGAUAAGCCUGGGAAACCGGGUCGUAAUACCGGAUAUGACUCCAUGACGCAUGUUGUGGGGUGGAAAGCCUUGUGCGGCUGAGGAUGGGCCCGCGGCCUAUCAGCUUGUUGGUGGGGUGAUGGCCUACCAAGGCGACGACGGUAGCCGGCCUGAGAGGGCGACCGGCCACACUGGGACUGAGACACGGCCCAGACUCCUACGGGAGGCAGCAGUGGGGAAUCUUGCGCAAUGGGCGAAA
rnacentral:rRNA from 1 species